GGCAGCCUGGGGCUUGCAGUCCCCGGGCCGGGGCAGCCGCACCGCGCCCGGCAGCGAUGGCGAGGGCCGGGAGCGGGAGGCUGAUCCCGCGGGAUGGGAACGGGAAUCUCCUCGCUGCCUGCUGACCUGCUCUUGUGCAGAGCUUCUCCCCCCCACCCCAGACGGGAAAGCCUCUAUGGGUAUCCUGGGCCUGCUGAAGUCAGUGCCUUUGUCCUGAAGCUCCACACAUGAGAAGGUCUGGAGUGGCGGAUCCACCAACCCUUCGUGUGUGCCGGCACGUUUCUAUCCUGGCUCUCUCCUUCGAUGCCUUCCUCCUUCUCCUCCCCUCCA